UAGCUGGGCCUCCCAAGCCCGGCUCCGCUCCGCACGGCAGGCCUGCCUCUGCACGGCAGGUCCCGCACCGCAGCCACCGCCGCCACCAACACCGCUGUUGCUGCUGCUGCUGCUCCUGCUUCUUCGCUUCCAGCAGCGGGUGGAGCGAUGGAGUCCAGACUCCUCUGCUGGACCAUUUGCUUUCUCCUGGUCGUGUGGUGCCUGCCAGUGCUACCCUGCCCUAGCCGGUGCCUUUGCUUGAAGAGCACCGUCCGCUGCAUGCACUUGAUGCUGGAUCACAUUCCUCAGGUGCCGCAGCAGACCACAGUCCUCAGAUUUGAACAAUGAAAUCCUGGCCAGGGCCUGAGAACGUCAUCAGGCUGAAGUUGUUACCCCCCCAGUCCUUGGGUGCUCUCUUGCUGUCUCAGAAAGACUGUUCAUUUUAUGACCUUCAAGUCCUGCACAGUUGUUUCUAAAAGGGGAUCAUUUUGAGUGACUGCAUGUCAUGUCUAUGCAGUGUGCAUGGUACCUCGUGGCUAGAAUGGACUGUAUACUUGUGAUAUGAUUCCAGUCACACUUGGAAUAAAAUCCUAUUGAAGACAUA